UAAUACAUGUAAGUCGAACGAGAAUUUCUUACACCGAGUGCUUGCACUCACCGUAAGAAAUUCGAGUGGCGGACGGGUGAGUAACACGUGGGUAACCUGCCCAAAAGAAGGGGAUAACAUUUGGAAACAAAUGCUAAUACCGUAUAACCAUGAUGACCGCAUGGUCAUUAUGUAAAAGGUGGUUCUGCUAUCGCUUUUGGAUGGACCCGCGGCGUAUUAACUAGUUGGUAGGGUAACGGCCUACCAAGGUGAUGAUACGUAGCCGAGUUGAGAGACUGAUCGGCCACAAUGGGACUGAGAUACGGCCCAUACUCCUACGGGAGGCAGCAGUAGGGAAUCUUCCACAAUGGGCGCAAGCCUGAUGGAGCAACGCCGCGUGAAUGAAGAAGGUCUUCGGAUCGUAAAAUUCUGUUGUUAGAGAAGAAUAUGAGUAAUAGUAACUGAUUAUUCACUGACGGUAUCUAACCAGCAAGUCACGGCUAACUACGUGCCAGCAGCCGCGGUAAUACGUAGGUGGCAAGCGUUGUCCGGAUUUAUUGGGCGUAAAGGGAACGCAGGCGGUUUUUUAAGUCUGAUGUGAAAGCCUUCGGCUUAACCGGAGAUGUGCAUUGGAAACUGGAAGACUUGAGUGCAGAAGAGGAGAGUGGAACUCCAUGUGUAGCGGUGAAAUGCGUAGAUAUAUGGAAGAACACCAGUGGCGAAAGCGGCUCUCUGGUCUGUAACUGACGCUGAGGUUCGAAAGCAUGGGUAGCGAACAGGAUUAGAUACCCUGGUAGUCCAUGCCGUAAACGAUGAAUGCUAGGUGUUGGAGGGUUUCCGCCCUUCAGUGCCGCAGCUAACGCAAUAAGCAUUCCGCCUGGGGAGUACGACCGCAAGGUUGAAACUCAAAGGAAUUGACGGGGGCCCGCACAAGCGGUGGAGCAUGUGGUUUAAUUCGAAGCAACGCGAAGAACCUUACCAGGUCUUGACAUCUUUUGACCACCUAAGAGAUUA
rnacentral:rRNA from 1 species